UUGAAAAAGAGAAAACAUUCUCCUCAUCCCUCCAUCUCCAUCUCCACGACUCCACCGCCCCCGUCCCCCACCUACCGCGCUGCCGCCCACGAGCACCGCCGAUCGCCACCACUGCCGACCAAGAGCACCAACGCCGACCACCGCCGCUCUCUCUACAAGACUGCUAUUGCUCUCUCUCUCUCUCUCUCUCUCUCUCUCUACGGGCCUGUAAUACUCUACCAUCGUAGAUAUGGGUUUUUGCAGAAUUCUGUGAUUGGCGUGUAUUUGAGGUGUCGGUUUGUUCAAUUUACUAGGCAAGUGUUUGAUAGAAUGCCAAAGUGGGAGUGGGCAAUCAAAGAUGGGCUUAAUGUUGAAUGUGAUUUAUUUGAGAGAAUGCCUGCUGGAGACUUCUCUUGAGAUGCCUAUCAUUUGUUUAAUCAGAUGCCAAAACAGGAUGCGGUUGGUUGGGCAAAUACGAGAUAUGGGUAUGCAAAAACAGGUAGUAUUGAUGUUGCUAUGCUUUGAUGUCUGGCUAUGUUCAAAAUGGUUAUUGCUUGUAAUGUUUUACGGGCAACAAGAUUGCCUUUGAACAACAAAAUUAUAUUUUUUUGAA